UACGGGGGGGGGGCAAGCGUUGUUCGGAAUUACUGGGCGUAAAGGGCUCGUAGGCGGCCAACUAAGUCGGAUGUGAAAAUCCCCCAGGCUUAACCUGGGAACUGCAUCCGAUACUGGAUGGCUUGAAUCCGGGAGAGGGAUGCAGAAUUCCAGUGUAGCGGUGAAAAAUGCGCAGAUAUCAGGGAGGGAAACACCCAAAUGGCGAAAGGCAG
rnacentral:rRNA from 1 species